UACCCGGUAGUGUAACGGUAGCACAACAGUUUUUGGUACUGUUCGUCGAGGUUCGAAUCCUCGCCGGGUAA
rnacentral:tRNA from 1 species